GAGGGGUGCAAACGUUAUUCGGAUUAACUGGGCGUAAAGGGUGUGUAGACGGCAUAUUAAGUUCGUUGUUAAAUCUUCCGGCCUAACCGGAAGCUCGCGAUGGAAACUGAUAUACUUGAGGAUGGAAGAGAGAAGUGGAAUUCUCGGAGUAGCGGUAAAAUGCGUAGAUCUCGAGAGGAACACCGAUGGCGAAGGCAGCUUCUUGGUCCACUCCUGACGUUGAGACACGAAAGCAUGGGUAGCAAACAGGGAUUAGAUACCCUGGUAGUCCAUGCUGUAAACGAUGAUCACUGGAUGUCAGCUUCGCUUUGCGAAGUUGGUAUCGAAGCUAACGCGUUAAGUGAUCCGCCUGGGAAGUACGGUCGCAAGAUUA
rnacentral:rRNA from 1 species